rnacentral:rRNA from 1 species
AAUAUUGCGCAAUGGGGGAAACCCUGACGCAGCGACGCCGCGUGAGUGAUGAAGGUCUUCGGAUCGUAAAACUCUGUCCUCAGGGAAGAAACAAAUGACGGUACCUGAGGAGAAAGCCACGGCUAACUACGUGCCAGCAGCCGCGGUAAUACGUAGGUGGCAAGCGUUGUCCGGAAUUAUUGGGCGUAAAGAGUGCGUAGGCGGUUAAUUAAGUCUAGUUUGAAAGCCCAUGGCUUAACCAUGGAGGGUGACUAGAAACUGGUUAACUUGAGGAUAGGAGAGGAAAGUGGAAUUCCACGUGUAGCGGUGAAAUGCGUAGAUAUGUGGAGGAACACCAAUGGCGAAGGCAGCUUUCUGGCCUAUAACUGACGCUAAUGCACGAAAGCGUGGGUAGCAAACA